UACAGAGGGUGCGAGCGUUGUCCGGAAUCACUGGGCGUAAAGGGCGCGUAGGUGGCCUGGUAAGUAGGGGGUGAAAUCUCGCGGCUCAACUGCGAGGCUGCCUCCUAAACUGUCAGGCUCGAGCAGAGUAGAGGCAGGUGGAAUUCCCGGUGUAGCGGUGGAAUGCGUAGAGAUCGGGAAGAACAUCGGUGGCGAAGGCGGCCUGCUGAGCUCUUGCUGACACUGAGGCGCGACAGCGUGGGGAGCGAACGGG
rnacentral:rRNA from 1 species